rnacentral:rRNA from 1 species
CCCUUAGACGUUCUGGGCCGCACGCGCGCUUCACUGACCAGUGCAACAAGCAUCCGUCCUUGGCCGACAGGCCCGGGCAAUCUUUGAACGCUGGUCGUGAUGGGGAUAGACUUUUGCAAUUUUUGGUCUUCAACGAGGAAUUCCUAGUAAACGCAAGUCAUCAACUUGCAUUGAUUACGUCCCUGCCCUUUGUACACACCGCCCGUCGCACCUACCGAUUGAAUGGUCCGGUGAAGCCUCCGGAUUGGCGCGCACCUCGGUGCCGCCGAGAAGUUGGCUAAACCUUACCAUUUAGAGGAAGGUGAAGUCGUAACA